GAAAAUCCGUCGACUUUAGAAAUCGUGAGGGUUCAA
rnacentral:tRNA from 123 species